GUUGGGUAGGGGAGCGUUCUGUAAGCCUGUGAAGGUGUGUCGUGAGGCAUGCUGGAGGUAUCAGAAGUGCGAAUGCUGACAUAAGUAACGAUAAAGCGGGUGAAAAGCCCGCUCGCCGGAAGACCAAGGGUUCCUGUCCAACGUUAAUCGGGGCAGGGUGAGUCGACCCCUAAGGCGAGGCCGAAAGGCGUAGUCGAUGGGAAACGGGUUAAUAUUCCCGUACUUGGUGUUACUGCGAAGGGGGGACGGAGAAGGCUAUGUUGGCCGGGCGACGGUUGUCCCGGUUUAAGCGUGUAGGUGUGUGUUCCAGGUAAAUCCGGUUCACUUUAACACUGAGGCGUGAUGACGAGGCACUACGGUGCUGAAGCAACAAAUGCCCUGCUUCCAGGAAAAGCCUCUAAGCAUCAGGUAACAUCAAAUCGUACCCCAAACCGACACAGGUGGUCAGGUAGAGAAUACCAAGGCGCUUGAGAGAACUCGGGUGAAGGAACUAGGCAAAAUGGUGCCGUAACUUCGGGAGAAGGCACGCUGACACGUAGGUGAAGUGAUUUACUCAUGGAGCUGAAGUCAGUCGAAGAUACCAGCUGGCUGCAACUGUUUAUUAAAAACACAGCACUGUGCAAACACGAAAGUGGACGUAUACGGUGUGACGCCUGCCCGGUGCCGGAAGGUUAAUUGAUGGGGUCAGCGCAAGCGAAGCUCCUGAUCGAAGCCCCGGUAAACGGCGGCCGUAACUAUAACGGUCCUAAGGUAGCGAAAUUCCUUGUCGGGUAAGUUCCGACCUGCACGAAUGGCGUAAUGAUGGCCAGGCUGUCUCCACCCGAGACUCAGUGAAAUUGAACUCGCUGUGAAGAUGCAGUGUACCCGCGGCAAGACGGAAAGACCCCGUGAACCUUUACUAUAGCUUGACACUGAACAUUGAGCCUUGAUGUGUAGGAUAGGUGGGAGGCUUUGAAGCGUGGACGCCAGUCUGCGUGGAGCCGACCUUGAAAUACCACCCUUUAAUGUUUGAUGUUCUAACGUGGACCCGUAAUCCGGGUUGCGGACAGUGUCUGGUGGGUAGUUUGACUGGGGCGGUCUCCUCCUAAAGAGUAACGGAGGAGCACGAAGGUUGGCUAAUCCUGGUCGGACAUCAGGAGGUUAGUGCAAUGGCAUAAGCCAGCUUGACUGCGAGCGUGACGGCGCGAGCAGGUGCGAAAGCAGGUCAUAGUGAUCCGGUGGUUCUGAAUGGAAGGGCCAUCGCUCAACGGAUAAAAGGUACUCCGGGGAUAACAGGCUGAUACCGCCCAAGAGUUCAUAUCGACGGCGGUGUUUGGCACCUCGAUGUCGGCUCAUCACAUCCUGGGGCUGAAGUAGGUCCCAAGGGUAUGGCUGUUCGCCAUUUAAAGUGGUACGCGAGCUGGGUUUAGAACGUCGUGAGACAGUUCGGUCCCUAUCUGCCGUGGGCGCUGGAGAACUGAGGGGGGCUGCUCCUAGUACGAGAGGACCGGAGUGGACGCAUCACUGGUGUUCGGGUUGUCAUGCCAAUGGCACUGCCCGGUAGCUAAAUGCGGAAGAGAUAAGUGCUGAAAGCAUCUAAGCACGAAACUUGCCCCGAGAUGAGUUCUCCCUGAGACUUAGAGUCUCCUGAAGGAACGUUGAAGACGACGACGUUGAUAGGCCGGGUGUGUAAGCGCAGCGAUGCGUUGAGCUAACCGGUACUAAUGAACCGUGAGGCUUAACCUUACAACGCCGAAG
rnacentral:rRNA from 1 species